rnacentral:lncRNA from 1 species
AAUAUAUUUAUUGGUGUUUGUGUGACUAAAAAAAAAAAAUUUUUUUUAGACCGUUUUUUUUAAUUGUUUGUAUCUCUGCCAAAUAUUUAUAAAGUAAAAAAAUUAAAAAAAAAUAAAAUGUACCCGUAUGACUGGUUAUGUGGUCCAGGGACACAUAUUAUAAAUUUUAUGUAAGUUUAAUUGCUAUAUCAAAAUAACUUAUGGUAUAUCAUAUCAAGCGACACAGCCAAGCGACUUUCCGCAACACACCUUAUCCCCUAAACACGCUUGUUAGUAAUAUAAUUUAAUUUGUUAUUUUGACUGUUGCAAAAAUGUUCUCAAAUAAACAAAGUCAAUAGACAUGAUUACCUUUUUAAUGUGUAAAAAUUACUUUAUAUGUCUGACUCUUCAUGGGUUACAUUAGUCAAGAGGAAUACAACAAACAUUGUUUUAGUAUAUCAAGAAAAAGGUUUAUUGUAAAGGUUGACAUUUACAGAUAAUGACAAAAAUGAAAAUAGACAUUAACAAUGACAAAACAAAUUUCUAAAUCUCUACCACAGUGCAUAGUGGAAUUACAACCGAGACCUUCUCUUUAGUGUGACUUAACUGCACGGUUGAUGUACUAAGUACACAUCUGCCUGCAAUACGCUCCACAGGGAGAAAUGCUGCAGCAGUAUCAGUCUGUUCCGGCCAUUAUGUCGGUGACGUAAGGGAAUGCAACCAAUGACAUUACAGUAUCAUUCGCGCGAACACAAUUUAAAUUGUCGGCAUUGUGUACGGAAGUCAUUUUUUGCGAAUUGCGACUUGGUGAAACUGACUAUUGUUUGUGAUGGCGUGUAAAAGAAACCUGAGUUUUACUACUCCCGUGAGUAAUAGGGCUUUGCAACCAGCAGCAAGCCCACUGAGCAUAAAUGAUUUAAUGAAACAGCUGAUCUCCGGUCAGAACGCUUUGUCUCAUCAGCUUGAGGGUUUGAUGGAGAAGCAAGCUGCAAACACUGUUCUUCUCGAAGAUGCUAUCCAGCGUCUUUGUGCUCUUGAGCGAAAGUUUGACGAGCAAAGACCGCAAGAGGAACAAAGACCGCGGGAAGAGCCAUUACAUAAAAGGAUAAAGAGGGCGCACAACGUGGGCAUUGCGGAAGCUGUAAGGCGCCUUCACAAUUCGGAAAACAACCCACAUAAAUAUGAUCCACAAACUGGGUAA